CCAACCUUUUUACUCUGUGUGCCUCGAUAGGAUCAGUCGGCAAGGCUCCAUCUAUCAAGAAAUUGAUGAACGGGUCAAUCUAACUCGGCUCUUAUUUAACUUCAACCUAAUGGAUUUCUUCCUUUGAGUCAAUACUAGAGCUCUCGAGAUGCUCGAUGAAGAUUUUUUCAAGAUCUCCGUAACCAGAGGUGGCAAGACGGGACA
rnacentral:lncRNA from 1 species